rnacentral:misc_RNA from 1 species
GAAAUGCGAUAAGUAAUGUGAAUUGCAGAAUUCAGUGAAUCAUCGAAUCUUUGAACGCACAUUGCGCCCCCUGGUAUUCCGGGGGGCAUGCCUGUCCGAGCGUCAUUGCUGCCCUCAAGCACGGCUUGUGUGUUGGGCCCCCGUCCCCCUCCCAGGAAGGGGACGGGCCCGAAAGGCAGCGGCGGCACCGUGUCCGGUCCUCGAGCGUAUGGGAAGCAACUUUUUGUCACCCGCUCCUGUAGGUCCGGCCGGCGGCCUGCCCAACCCCAACCUUUUUUUAACCAGGUUGACCUCGGAUCAGGUAGGGAUACCCGCUGAACUUAA